UACCCGCAGAUGUGGGCUCAGAGGGUUAGAGUUCAACACCUCAGUCAUUAACAUCUUCUCUAAAAAUUAACAAGUGCGAUUAGCCCAUAUUAAUGAAAUAAUCUCUUGAGGUUUUUUUUUUUCUUUUAAUCUGCAGUUCCAUCUGAAUCACACAAAGAGAAAAUGCACCUUCCCAUCAGUUCAAGUUUAGAACUGGCACAUGUUAAAAAAAAAAAAAAUAGCUGAACUUAUUCUCCCCCUCUUCAAAUUCUGCAAAAUUUGCUCCCAGGUUUCCUUUCUAAGCCAAGUUUCAUCGCUGAGCACAUUUUUAUGGUCUAGUUAUAAACCCUAGAAAAACAAGGUUUAUAGGAAAUGUUGACACAACCUUCACUAAAGUGGUGCUAGCUGACACCUCUCUAUUUUCAAUUUGGGGAUUUCUACUGGGAAAAUAUAAACGCUAAUUCAGCAAAGGAAGCCAACGAUAAUAAAAAUGUUGUAGUCUUCCUGUUCACCCCAUGAAGUUCUACUUCAAAAGAUGCCAGGGCAGCGUGGAGUGAGUUAGAACGAGGACGCGCAGUUUGGAAGGCACCUGCAAACACCUCAGCCUCCCGGUUACUAUAAACCUUGCCUGGGAAUGUAUGACCUCACGGUGAGUCAUGGCUGCCCACGGCCAUUCAGUCGGAGAGGUGGCAGAAGAUUCCAGAUCUUAAUGUCAAAGAUGCCUACCAGCCUCCAAAUCUACCCUAAAUUAAGGCAAAUUGGAUUUUUCACAGGCUGGUAAAGUCAACCUGCAGACACACAGAGAAGCCUCAAAAGAUACAAGUUGGAGAAAAGGCAGACCCUGGAAGGUGGAUGUUGAAUGGUUAGCAGGCUCAAGUUGGGGCCAGCAGCAGUGUCAGGGGGACCCAGGUGUGAGGGCAGGUCGGCACAUGGGGACAGAGGGCCAGUGACAAUUCCCAUUUUCCCAGCCCGGCUCUACAGCCCAUCCAAAAGGCACAUGUGUUCCAUAUUUAGGCUUUGAUUUUUUUUUUUUUCUUUCUGAAACAGGAGGAGGUGGGAGAAAGGGGUGAAGGUUGACUCAGGUCCAGAGAUAAAGACUGACAUACACAAAUGGCCCAUAAUAGGGGGCAAAGCGAGUUAAGCUGGAGUCAAUAUUUUCAAAUCCUCAGCUAAAUAGACUAAACAGGACUGGCUGAGGAGCCAGGAGGGCCAGCUGCUGGCCAGGAGCUCCCACUGAGGAGCAGGGUAGCCGGUGAAGCCUCCCGUAUCCCCCUUUUUGUCACCUGUACAAAGGGGGCCAGCAUCCAUCUAGCCAUUGAGGUUGUGUGGGGAGGAAGACAGGUUCCUGGUGGGGCUCUCUGAAAAACUGCAAGAAGUGGGGUCCAUUACCAGCUGGGAAGUAUUACUGUGUGAAUGUGCUGAAAAA